GAAUUCGCCCUUAGAGUUUGAUCCUGGCUCAGGACGAACGCUGGCGGCAUGCCUAACACAUGCAAGUCGAACGGAGUAUAUCCGACAGAACCCUUCGGGGGGACGAUGGAUAUCACUUAGUGGCGGACGGGCGAGUAACGCGUGAGCAACCUGCCUUUCAGUGUGGAACAACAGUUGGAAACGACUGCUAAUACCGCAUAAUGUGUAGUCACCGCAUGAUGACGACACCAAAGGAUUUAUUCGCUGAAAGAUGGGCUCGCGUCCGAUUAGAUAGUUGGUGGGGUAACGGCCUACCAAGUCGACGAUCGGUAGCCGAACUGAGAGGUUGAUCGGCCGCAUUGGGACUGAGACACGGCCCAGACUCCUACGGGAGGCAGCAGUGGGGGAUAUUGCACAAUGGGGGAAACCCUGAUGCAGCAAUGCCGCGUGAGGGAAGACGGUCUUCGGAUUGUAAACCUAAGUAGUCAGGGACGAAGAAAGUGACGUUACCUGAAGAGUAAGCUCCGGCUAACUACGUGCCAGCAGCCGCGGUAAUACGUAGGGAGCGAGCGUUGUCCGGAUUUACUGGGUGUAAAGGGUGCGUAGGCGGGUUUGCAAGUCAGGCGUGAAAUACCGAGGCUUAACUUCGGAGCUGCGCUUGAAACUGUAAAUCUUGAUUGAAGUAGAGGCAGGCGGAAUUCCCAGUGUAGCGGUGAAAUGCGUAGAUAUGGGAGGAACACCAGUGGCGAAGGCGGCCUGCUGGGGCUUUAACUGACGCUGAGGCACGAAAGUAUGGGGAGCAAACAGGAUUAGAUACCCUGGUAGUCCAUACUGUAAACGAUGAUUGCUAGGUGUGGGGGGACUGACCCCCUCCGUGCCGGAGUAAACACAAUAAGCAAUCCACCUGGGGAGUACGACCGCAAGGUUGAAACUCAAAGGAAUUGACGGGGGCCCGCACAAGCAGUGGAGUAUGUGGUUUAAUUCGACGCAACGCGAAGAACCUUACCAGGUCUUGACAUCCAACUAACGAAGUAGAGAUACAUUAGGUGCCCUUCGGGGAAAGUUGAGACAGGUGGUGCAUGGUUGUCGUCAGCUCGUGUCGUGAGAUGUUGGGUUAAGUCCCGCAACGAGCGCAACCCUUGUUUUUAGUUGCUACGCAAGAGCACUCUAAAGAGACUGCCGUUGACAAAACGGAGGAAGGUGGGGACGACGUCAAAUCAUCAUGCCCUUUAUGACCUGGGCUACACACGUACUACAAUGGCCGUUAACAGAGGGAAGCAAUCCCGCGAGGAGGAGCAAAACCCUAAAAACGGUCUCAGUUCGGAUCGUAGGCUGAAACCCGCCUGCGUGAAGUUGGAAUUGCUAGUAAUCGCGGAUCAGCAUGCCGCGGUGAAUACGUUCCCGGGCCUUGCACACACCGCCCGUCA
rnacentral:rRNA from 1 species